rnacentral:rRNA from 1 species
GAUCCUGGCUCAGGAUGAACGCUGGCGGCGUGCUUAACACAUGCAAGUCGAACGAAGCACUUUAUUACAAUUUCUUCGGAAUGACGAUUUAUUGACUGAGUGGCGGACGGGUGAGUAACGCGUGGGUAACCUGCCUUAUACAGGGGGAUAACAGUUAGAAAUGACUGCUAAUACCGCAUAAGCGCACAGGAUUGCAUGAUCUGGUGUGAAAAAACUCCGGUGGUAUAAGAUGGACCCGCG